UCUGUAGAGUAGAUAUAGUAGUUAGAGCAGGUUUGGGCUUAUCAAGAAUUUGUACAUUAAGGUUUAGGAGCAGCUUCUUCAUAAGCAGCAGUAGACAAAUUAAUUUUCUUAACAUUUUCAGUAAUAAACCUGUUUUUUUCUUCAGCUGGGGUGAGUGGACAGAAAUCAAAUGAUGUUCACUGAUGGACUGGAGUGCUGUGGAUUAUUGUGAUGUUUUAUCAGCUGUUUAGACUCUCAUUCUGAUGGCACCCAUUCACUGCAGAGCAUCCAUUAAUGAGAAAGUGAUGGAUAAUUACAUUUCUCAAAAUCUGAUGAAGAAACAAACUCAUCAGCAUCUCUGAUGGCCUGAGGAUGAGCACAUUUACAGCAGAUGUCCAUUUUUGGACAAACUGUUCCUUUAACCCUUGUAUAGACUUUUUGUCAAAAGAAAAAUUAUACUAUUAAUUAUUUUUUCAACUUACACUCAUUGACAAGGUUAAAAAGAUGUUUUUUUUUUACACUACCAUUGAUAAAUUUUAAUCAAACUAUGCUACAGACUUUUUCCUUUUAGACCCUAAAGAAUCAUAUCAACUUGUGGAAAAAACAUCCCUUGACACCUUUAAACUCAUAAAUGUGAUACUAAAAAAGAUAAAAGGCAAAUAUCAACCAUAUAUGCUGUUCAUAUUGCUUGUAACUGGGAUAAAGUAAACAUCUGUGGAGUGUUUUAACAAAUUGUGUAAUUGUGUUGAAUUAAAACCCAACACAAGGGGUUAAAAUGAAUCUGCUUUACAAUAUGAAUUUGUCUUUAAAUAAAAAGUAUAAACUAUCAAGCAUGUUUUUCAAGCAUUGUGUUUUCUUCUCCCAUGCACUCUGUGAUCUAGUUUCCCGUCUGUGUCGGAUUAAUGUAGUUAUGUUCAGGUAUGUCUAGUUAAUUAUUAUUAUUUGCUCCACUAUAUCAGUUGUGUUCUGUUCACUGUUUGUGGUCCAGUCUAUUACAUGUGACUCUGCACGUCCGACCUGUGUUCUGCCUUUUAUAAAUUAUUAAAGAUUAUUUGCAUUGUU